rnacentral:rRNA from 1 species
AUUGAACGCUGGCGGCAGGCCUAACACAUGCAAGUCGAGCGGAGCGGCGGACGGGUGAGUAAUGCCUAGGAAUCUGCCUGGUAGUGGGGGAUAACGUCCGGCAACGGGCGCUAAUACCGCAUACUAUCAGAUGAGCCUAGGUCGGAUUAUCUAGUUGGGGGGGAAAAGGCCUACCAAGGCGACGAUCCGUAACUGGUCUGAGAGGAUGAUCAGUCACACGGGAACUGAGAAACGGUCAAGACUCUUACGGGAGGCAGCAGUGGGGAAUAUUGGACAAUGGGCGAAAGCAUGAUCGAGCCAGGCUGCGUGGGGGAAGAAGGUCGUCGGAUUGUAAAGCACUUUAAGUUGGGAGGCGUUACCAACAGAAUAAGCACCGGCUAAAUUCGUGCCAGCAGCCGCGGUAAUAC